GUACUCACUUCAGCAGCACAUAUACUAAAAUUGGAAUAAUACAGAGAAGAUCAGCACAGCCCCUAUGCAAGGAUGACAUGCAUAUUCUGAAGCAUUCCAUAUUUUU